GAGCUGGAAAGUGUUGCUAGGGAGAGGGAUGUCUGGGUCAAUUUGCUUGGACUGCUACCUCAGCGACCCGGCACCGGAUAAGUGGAAGAAAAUGGAUGGAUCUUAAGAGAUUUUUGGUAUAUUAAGCUGUUAACCACACGCCCUCCUGUGUGGCUUCAUGAGGAGAAGUGGAGGUUUCUGAAAUCAGAUAACUGAACAAAGUGGGUAAUAAUCAAUAACAUAACAGACAGAGAGGUGAUGAUAACACUGUUACGUGUUUCUUUUACAACAAGCAGAGUAAAAUAAAACCUGGCUGUAAAUUUGA